GCCUGGGUGGCUCAGUCAGUUGGGUGGCUGACUUUGACUCAGGUCAUGAUCUCACAGCUUGUGAGUUCAAGCCCCACCUCAGGCU
rnacentral:tRNA from 1 species